rnacentral:lncRNA from 1 species
UUCUAGUGGGUCUUUAUUUAUUGUAUGGAAAAAAACAACAUUGGAUAAUGCCUUAAUUUUCGUAAACCUACAAAAGCAGUUCCUGAGUUUAAGUAUACAAGCAAUUGUGGAAAAUCAGAAUUGUUAAGAAAUUUACAAGUAAUUUUUUUUCAAAAUAAUAUAACAAAAUAAAAAUAUUAUAAAUUUAAUUUGUUUAGUGUUAUUAAUACUAUUUCACUUCAUUUUUUAAUUUUUAGUAAUUUUUCUUUAUAUAUUUGUUUAUAUAUGUAUAUGUAUAUAACUUUUUUUUUAGUCUGAUAAGAAAUUAUUUUAUUCAGGCAUUUGUCGAUUUAUCAAAGAGGGAAGAGAUGUAAAUGGAGAGUUACUCUUAUUACCAUAUUUAAACGAUUCAUUCCCCAUAAAAACUAACAUUUAUUUUUUAAAAGAAAAUAAUGUCACGAAAGUUACUCCUGGAAAGUCUUAUACAUUAAAAGAUGUUGAAGCAGUAUGUGUUUUACCAAAUGGCUCAAAUGCUUUGAAUGUCAAAACUAUGAAAACGGAUAUGUUCGUGAGUAAAGGAAAUAGCGAAGGUGCUAGCAUUCGUUUUUAAAUAUAUACGUAUGCAUACACAUAGUUCAGUUUAUUUUUAGCAAAUAUAAAGUUUUAUAAAAUUUGAAAAAAAUUAUAAAAACAACAAAAAAAAGCUAAAAUAAAAAAAAUAUAUAUAUAAAUUUUGCA